rnacentral:lncRNA from 1 species
GUGGCUGUGAAGAAGAAGAAGACUAGAAGCUUCUACUUAUAGUCAACAUCCCAAUAGUAGCAUACACUAUUCACUUUAGGCAGUACGAAAUCUGAUAUCUUUCGUUGGAGCCCUCUGAAUAUCCGUUUGAGCUCAAAUUUGACAGUUAUAUUCGGUUUUGCUUAACUUAACGAAAGAAAUUUUAAUCUUUCAGUUUCGACCCCGCUUGGUCACCGAAAGCUGUACCGAACUGUAAUCUUUAUCAAAUAGCAGUUCGAUUUUAUUCUCCACCUUCCGAGUGUCAGAAUGACAUGAAACUUUAAAUCUAGCCUCAUAAAAAUAAUUCUGACAUACUCUCCAGUUUUCAUAAUUUUCCGACACUGUGCAUUUUCUGCUAAUUUACCAGCACCGCUUUUCAUAGAAAAUUCUAAAUCUUUUGUUUUCGCUCCGAUUUUAGCACAGGUCAUUUUCAACUUAUACCUUACACCCUUAAGUCCAAUAAAAAUAAUAUCUCACACUAUUUUUAUUUACACUUAAUUUUAUAUUAAAUUUCGGUAUACUACAUCCCAUCGUAACUUCAUAAUUUCAGAAGUUCGGUACCUUACAAGCACGCGACGGCUCGGC